rnacentral:rRNA from 1 species
AAAGGUGAAAUUAGGUGUUAUAAGAAGAAACAAAGAUUUUAAUUGAAGCUGGAAAAAUUAGGAAUAAACCAGGAUUAGAUACCCUGCUAUACUAAAAGUAUAAAUUAAAGAUUAAAUUAUUAAAAGAUAUAUUCUUCAAAUUUGAAAAUUUGGCGGUAGUUUAGUCUGGUCGGAGGAACUUGUUUUUUAAUCGAUAAUCCUCGUUAAAUUUUACUUUAGUUUGUAUAUCGUCAUUAUCAGAUAAUUUCUAAAGAAAAUUAUUAAGAUCUGUAAGUCAGGGAAAAUUAGAUCAAGGUGCAGCUUAUAAAUAAGUUAAAAUGAGUUACAAUAAAUAUUAUUUAUACGGAUAAAUUGUUAAGAAGGAGGAUUCGAUUGUAUUUAGUUUUAGAAAGACUAUAUGAUAUAAGCACUAAAUUAUGUACAUAUCGCCCGUCGCUUUC